rnacentral:rRNA from 1 species
UACGGAGGGUGCUAGCGUUGUUCGGAAUCACUGGGCGUAAAGGGCGUGUAGGCGGUCUGUUAAGUCUGAUGUGAAAUCCCCUCGCUCAACGAGGGAACUGCGUCGGAUACUGGCAGACUCGAGUACCGGAGAGGAAGGUGGAAUUCCCGGUGUAGCGGUGAAAUGCGUAGAUAUCAAGUGGAACACCAGUGGCGAAGGCGAGUCUCUGGACAUUUCCUGACGCUGAGGCACGAAAGCCAGGGGAGCAAACGGG